rnacentral:lncRNA from 1 species
CUUUUGAAAUUUUUAGCACUUAUGCAUUUGAAAUUAGAUUUUAUAAAGCAAUAAAACAAAUUCAUUAGGUAGAGACAGCAGUUUGUGGGUAUCUGAGCCGGAAACCCUCACGAGAUAAAACUCGUCCACUAGGGCCACCUAGGGGUUUAAAGCCUUAUUGCAUACGGUAAAUGCAAUCGCGAUUCCUGCGAAAGUGAGUUAGUUUUUAUUUUGCUCGAGGACUAGCAAAAUGUAGGUUUGGGAGUGUGAUAAGUACUAAAUAAUGCAUAAACUAAUAUCUUAUUCAUAGCACUUAUCAUUAUUUUAACCGCAUAUUUUAUAAAUUUAACUAAAAAAAUGUGUUUUCCUUCAUCAUUUCAUUUUAAAUAAAUUAUUCAAGUUUGAUUCUUUUUAUUAUUAUUA